UACGUAGGGGGCUAGCGUUGUCCGGAAUUAUUGGGCGUAAAGAGCUCGUAGGCGGUUUGUUGCGUCGGCUGUGAAAUCCCGAGGCUCAACCUCGGGUCUGCAGUCGAUACGAGCAAACUAGAGUGUUGCAGGGGAGACUGGAAUUCCUGGUGUAGCGGUGAAAUGCGCAGAUAUCAGGAGGAACACCGGUGGCGAAGGCGGGUCUCUGGGCAACAACUGACGCUGGAGGAGCGAAAGCGUGGGGAGCGAACAGG
rnacentral:rRNA from 1 species